AUACGGAGGGUGCAAGCGUUAAUCGGAAUUACUGGGCGUAAAGAGUACGUAGGUGGUUUGUUAAGUCAGAUGUGAAAGCCCCGGGCUCAACCUGGGAACUGCAUUUGAAACUGAUAAGCUAGAGUAUGGUAGAGGGGGGUAGAAUUUCUAGUGUAGCGGUGAAAUGCGUAGAUAUUAGAAGGAAUACCAGUGGCGAAGGCGGCCCCCUGGACCAAUACUGACACUGAGGUACGAAAGCGUGGGGAGCGAACAGGAUUAGAAACCCCAGUAGUCC
rnacentral:rRNA from 1 species